CCUACGGGUGGCAGCAGUGGGGAAUAUUGCACAAUGGGGGAAACCCUGAUGCAGCGACGCCGCGUGAGUGAAGAAGUACUUCGUUAUGUAAAGCUCUAUCAGCAGGGAAGUAAAUGACGGUACCUGACUAAGAAGCCACGGCUAACUACGUGCCAGCAGCCGCGGUACUACGGAGGGGGCCAGCGUUAUCCGGAUUUACUGGGUGUAAAGGGAGCGUAGACGGCUGCGUAAGUCUGGAGUGAAAUGCCGGGGCCCAACCCCGAAACUGCACUGGAAACUGUGAAGCUGGAGUGCAGGAGAGGUAAGCGGAAUUCGUGGUGUAGCGGUGAAAUGCGUAGAUAUCAGGAGGAACACCGGCGGCGAAGGCAGCUUACUGGACUGUAACUGACGUUGAGGCUCGAAGGCGUGGGGAGCAAACAGGAUUAGAUACCCCAGUAGUC
rnacentral:rRNA from 1 species